AAACAACUCUCAGCAACGGAUAUCUUGGCUCUUGCAACGAUGAAGAACGCAGCGAAAUGCGAUACGUAGUGUGAAUUGCAGAAUUCCGCGAAUCAUCGAGUUUUUGAACGCAAGUUGCGCCCGAGGCUUGUCCAAGGGCAUUUCCGCUAGAGCGUCACCGCGCCCCCCCACCGAUCCCCCCUCCCCGCGAGGGCCGAGUCGAGUGAAAGUG
rnacentral:rRNA from 1 species